AUUGAACGCUAGCGGGAUGCCUAACACAUGCAAGUCGAACGAGUGGCGGACGGGUGAGUAAUGUAUGGGAAAGUGCCUGGUAGAGGGGGAUAACUACUGGAAACAGUGGCUAAUACCGCAUACCAUCAGAUGUGCCCAUAUGGGAUUAGCUAGUUGGUGGGGUAAAGGCUCACCAAGGCGACGAUCCCUAGCUGGUCUGAGAGGAUGACCAGCCACACUGGAACGGAGACACGGUCCAGACUCCUACGGGAGGCAGCAGUGGGGAAUAUUGGACAAUGGGCGAAAGCCUGAUGCAGCCAUGCCGCGUGUAUGAAGAAGGCCUUCGGGUUGUAAAGUACUUUUAGCGGGGAGGCGGUAUCCGCAGAAUAAGCACCGGCUAACUACGUGCCAGCAGCCGCGGUAAUUC
rnacentral:rRNA from 1 species